AUCUAUGGCCAUACCACUUUGAACGCACCCGAUCUCGCCUGACCUUGGAAGCUAAGCAGGGACGGGCCUGAUUAGUGCUUGGAUGGGAGACAAAAAUAGAUGGCUGGCCAGAUA
ensembl:rRNA 5S_rRNA 5S ribosomal RNA